GUGAGGAAUAUUGGUCAAUGGACGAGAGUCUGAACCAGCCAAGUCGCGUGAAGGGAGACGGUUCUAUGAAUUGUAAACUUCUUUUGUGCAGGAAUAAAGUGGGUUACGUGUAACCUUUUGUAUGUACUGUACGAAUAAGGAUCGGCUAACUCCGUGCCAGCAGCCGCGGUAAUACGGAGGAUCCGAGCGUUAUCCGGAUUUAUUGGGUUUAAAGGGUGCGUAGGUGGAUUGAUAAGUCAGCGGUGAAAGUUUGCAGCUUAACUGUAAAAUUGCCGUUGAAACUGUCGGGCUUGAGUGCAAAUGAGGUAGGCGGAAUGUGUUGUGUAGCGGUGAAAUGCUUAGAUAUAACACAGAACUCCGAUUGCGAAGGCAGCUUACUGGGAUGCAACUGACACUGAUGCACGAAAGCGUGGGUAUCAAACAGGAUUAGAAACCCCUGUAGUCC
rnacentral:rRNA from 1 species